AGAAAAUAAAGUCCACCUUUACCUCAGAAUAUCAAAGCUGGAUCCAUCUAUCUCAGAUUUGCCUCCCUGUGGAAAAUAAUGGAGCAUGCUAGGAUAUUCUACCUAUACAACUGUAGAUUCAAUGGGUUACACACUUCCAAUAAAAAGUCUGAAGAUGUUGUUUUACUUUUUAAACAACAAGAGCAAAGGCUGCUACUGACUGUUGGGUUCCAAGAAUAGAAAGGAAGACUGAAUCUAUGUUUAGAAGCAUCAGUUUUGGCGGUCCAUCUUCUCCGAGCAAAGCCAUAGGCCAUGGACCCACUGCUCUGCUCUAAUUUGGUAGCAGCCUUACAGUUGGCGAGAGAGAAGGGGACGGGGCUACCUUACGGGAGAUCUGGACGGUUUGGAGUUAGAAUGCCCAAAUCCUAAAUUUCUAUUUAACCCCUUUGCCUCAUUUAUAUGUAUUUUAUAGCUCCCAGAUAUAUGAGCUAUCUAGCUUAACACCAUCAGAGUAGAACUAAACAUACUAUUGCAAUAUGGGCUAUUUACUAUCGUGUGACCUUGUGAUUCUAUCAUCUGUGUUUGUGUUGUAUGACAAUGUAUUGCUAUUGGUGAUUUUCUGAUCAUCCUGGUGUGCAACCGAA